UUGUUGUCUGGUGUUCUUUAUGUUCCCUACAGGAGCUGCCGAUACAAAGGCCUGACCCAGAAGAAAUUCUGCGUCACCUGUACCAUCAAGAUCAAGAUCAAGAUCAAAAUGGCGCGCGAAUUGCAGCUGUCCUGGACGUUGACAAUUUCUUGGUAACUUCGUGGAUUCAAUAAUGUCUGAGGAAGAAUAUGAAAAGGAAUGCAGGAAAUGAUUUACCCAAGAGAACAUUGUGCAGGAAAGAGUUAUCAUUUACCAAAUGACAAAGAACCAUGUACGAGGCCUUACUCGCAUGGAGAAGCAGAAAGUUAGGAGGCAGUCAUCUCUUCUCCAAUGGGAUCCAGAAAAGAAGAUUUUGUAUUAUACUGGCCACAGAGAUAGCAAGAAAAGAGAGGUGGUCAGGAAUCUGAGCAGCUUGAGAAGGUGCUGAAUAUCUUUCACACCAGCCCAACAGGAGAGCACAGUGGCUGGAACUCCACUUACACGAAAAUUUCAAAGGAGUAUAUCUGGAGAAAGAUGCAGUUUGACACCAAGCACUAUGUUGCCAUGUGUCCCAAGUGCCAAAAGCACAACCCAGUGAAGACACAGCCCACUGCAGUGAGACGCAGCAAGGUUAAGGAGCCGUGGGAGCUGGUUCAAGUAGACUCGACUGCUUUGAACCAUCACUUCCCAAGAUCCCAAAGUGUACUUCAAGUUGGUCUAAGGAUGAACUUCUUUUGCUGUUGGAGUUGAUGAGAGAAUGCAAGAAAACCAUCAAAAGAGUAUUAGGGCCGAACUUGGCAACAGAGGACAAGAGAGCGCGUGCUGAGAUGGCUGACGUUCUCGAUGCUACCUUCCUACUUGUUUGGCGGUCACAGGAACAAGUGGAAAAACAAUGCCAGAACUUGCUUUCAAAAGAGUGAUGAAUCCUGAUAUAUGAAAUCCAUUGCUGAUAUCAAGAUGUAUGUAGACAUUGACUGCCCCAGUGAUGAAGCUGUCACUUUCUUGCAAGACUACCCAGUGUAUGUGUUAUAAAUCUUUAUCCCGUCAGAUAUAUCAACCACAUCUCAUAAUCCUGUAGAAUAAAGACUUUUCAGAACCAAUGCAGCAAAAAAA
rnacentral:lncRNA from 1 species